AUUGAACGCUGGCGGCAUGCCUUACACAUGCAAGUCGAACGGCAGCACGGGUGCUUGCACCUGGUGGCGAGUGGCGAACGGGUGAGUAAUACAUCGGAACGUACCUUAUCGUGGGGGAUAACGCAGCGAAAGCUGUGCUAAUACCGCAUACGCCCUGAGGGGGAAAGCGGGGGAUCGAAAGACCUCGCGCGAUUAGAGCGGCCGAUGCCUGAUUAGCUUGUUGGUGGGGUAAAAGCCCACCAAGGCGACGAUCAGUAGCUGGUCUGAGAGGACGAUCAGCCACACUGGGACUGAGACACGGCCCAGACUCCUACGGGAGGCAGCAGUGGGGAAUUUUGGACAAUGGGGGCAACCCUGAGCCAGCAAUGCCGCGUGAGUGAAGAAGGCCUUCGGGUUGUAAAGUUCUUUUGUCAGGGAAGAAACACCGGCUCUAACACAGUCCGGGAAUGACGGUACCUGAAGAAUAAGCACCGGCUAACUACGUGCCAGCCGCCGCAGUAA
rnacentral:rRNA from 1 species